AUUUACAUCCUAAAAAUGAAAACUUCAUUUUCGUAUUUUUCAGAUUGGCAUCCUACUAAUUUGACCCUUAGUGAUGAGACUUGUCAGAGAUCCAAGAAUCUGAAAGUUGAUGAUAAAUGUCCAUCUGUAUCACCAUCAAUGCCUGAAAAUCAGUCAGCAACCAAAGAACUGGGACAGAUGAACUUAACAGAACGAGAAAAGAUGGACACUGGAGUUGUACUUCUCUCAGGGAAUGAUACUCUCCAUGACCUGUGCCAAUCACAGCUACCAGAAAACAAAGAGAGCAAAGAAGCAGAACAAGACUUGGAGCUGACAUCAGAGGAAGAGCAAGAAAGACUUAAAGGAUGCGAAAAUAAGCAGCCACAGAAAACGUCUCAAGAACCAGAAAUGGCUAAGGAUUGUGAUAGAGAGGAUAUACCUAUAUAUCCAGUACUUCCUCAUGUGCAAAAAUCUGAGGAAAUGUGGAUUGAACAAGGCAAAUUAGAGUGGAAAAACCAAUUAAAACUCGUCAUAAAUGAGUUAAAGCAGAGGUUUGGUGAAAUUUAUGAAAAAUACAAAAUUCCGGCUUGUCCUGAGGAAGAGCCACUACUUGAUAACUCUACAAGAGGAACAGAUGUGAAGGAUAUUCCCUUUAAUUUGACAAAUAACAUACCUGGUUGUGAGGAAGAAGAUGCAUCUGAAAUAUCUGUCUCAGUGGUAUUCGAGACAUUUCCUGAACAAAAAGAACCCAGUCUCAAAAAUAUCAUCCAUCCAUACUAUCAUCCGUACUCUGGGUCCCAGGAACAUGUUUGCCAGUCAUCUUCUAAGCUUCAUUUACAUGAAAAUAAAUUAGACUGCGACAAUGAUAACAAACUAGGCAUUGGACAUAUUUUUAGUACAGAUAACAACUUUCAUAAUGAUGCAAGCACUAAGAAAGCAAGGAACCCAGAAGUGGUUACGGUUGAAAUGAAAGAAGACCAAGAGUUUGAUUUGCAAAUGACAAAAAAUAUGAACCAAAAUAGUGACAGUGGCAGUACAAAUAACUAUAAAAGCCUGAAACCUAAAUUAGAAAAUCUGAGUUCUUUACCACCAGAUUCUGACAGAACAUCAGAAGUAUAUCUACAUGAAGAAUUACAGCAAGACAUGCAAAAGUUUAAGAAUGAGGUCAACACAUUAGAAGAAGAGUUCCUGGCUUUGAAGAAAGAAAAUGUUCAACUUCAUAAAGAGGUUGAAGAAGAAAUGGAGAAGCACAGAAGUAAUAGCACAGAAUUAUCAGGAACCCUAACUGAUGGUACUACUGUUGGCAAUGAUGAUGAUGGACUAAAUCAGCAGAUUCCUAGGAAGGAAAAUGAAGAGCAUGACAGGUAA